rnacentral:misc_RNA from 1 species
GCACUUAAGACGGCUAAGAAAGCUGAUAUUUUCUGAUAUUCCUUAGGAAUCUCAGUCAGAUUUCUGCGUCUGUUUUUCUUCCUAGACAGUGACCGUCGGUCUGCCAUGAGUCUCCAACCCUGUUUCUUCAUCCUCUGUUUCAUCUCUAGGCAGAUUUCUCGAAUGGCAACAACUUGAUUCCUCCAAUUCCACCUCUCUUUUCU